AGUCAUCAUUGGCUUAGAAAACUUCCUUUUCUGAGCACCAUUGCCAUUCGAAAUUUACUAGCGUGCCACAGUGGAAAGUGGCCGAGCUCAGCUGGUGUGCGAUGUUUGUGUACUGCAAACGAAGAAAUAUGUGGAGUAUUGUAUACUCAUGGACUCUAGAGCUGUGCACUUUAUUGCGAUGGGGAUAGGCAUACCACCCUGUGCCAACAGACCCCCUAACACGAUCUGGACUUGUAUUGACACCGUGGGGGACCUCUGUAUUGCUAUCAACCUUUUGUUCUGAUUAUUGUUGGGAACCCUGGGGCCUAAUUGACUGCCAGAUCUACCCCUUGGCCUAAGCUGCGAGAGCUCAUCUCCCUACUCACUCUCUCUAUGCGGGGAUGGGGACUAAGGGGUCUGUAAACUCCACAGUCAGUACAGGUCACUUGAGCUGAAUUCUCUCGACUUGCAUUCUGAGAUGCUGCUCCCGCUUGACAAGUGGUAAAUAUUCUGAACCAGCAGAGGUUGAAGGUUCCAAAGAUGGUCCUAGAAGCGCCCUUAAACUGUGAGGUGCCUUUCAGCAGUACGAGAAGGGACUUUUCCGUCCCAAGCCCACAGUCGAAGGACUAACAGGCAAGUUACGGGGGGGAAUGGACCAAAAAAAGAAUUCUCUGUACAAAUCAACAAGAUCUGCUAUAGGCAGCACAGCAGAAGUGGACUCUGAAGAGAAACUUCUAAAUGGAGGGGGGAGGGGUCUCGGAGCUUGCUUCUGACACAGGCACUAAGGGUGUGACAUGCCCCAUUCUGCUGAGAAACGCAGUGCAGGCAAAUGGAACGAAAGUAGCUUGUUUAGCUAGUGAGACUCUUCUGCUGAGAUCUGCUCUGUCACUGUAACUCUCAAUUUUGCUUUGAGAAGUGGAGUCGAUGGCUGGGAACCAGAGUCCUGAGAAGAAUCAGUCGCUGAAGAACCUGCAGGAAGAUGCCUGGGGAUGGACUUGAGCAAAUGGUAUGGCGUGUCUGUUUCUCUUACCCCCGCAUGGGAUAGCUGAGUAGCUGUAUUUCUCCAGCCCUAACGCCUGGCGGGACUUGCCACACAAACCACUAGAAGCAUAUUCUCGAGUCACGGAGAACUCUGAAAUCUCUUCGGCUGUUUGGCUUCUGCUCUCAUCACUCGGUCUGUGGUGGCCAGACUUUUUGCUAGGCCUUUAUUGCCAGCGGUACAGGGCUGCCUCUUCCAGCCGCUGAGAGAGGACUUUGUAGUGUUGUUUCCCACUGAGCGUCUUUUCCUGCCUCAGGGCUGUCGGGUUCCAUCCCUAUCUGCCGGGGGGUGGGAGGUGGGGUGGGAAUGAACAGGGUUUCAUGCUGCUUUGCCUUGCUUAAUACUUGGAGCUGCUUAUUUAUAUCACGUGCUUUUUUCACUGGAUUUCCACAUUUACUGAAACCUUGUUUUCCCAGCUGACAUGGGGACACUAAGUCAAGGCAAGUAACUGGAGUUGGAUAAGCAGGCGACUGUCCUGUGUGUUUAGUACGAAUCGGGACAAGUCCUUGUUUCAGAGGUGGAAGUUCUCAGGUAAUAGAGGUUCCCCUGGUUUCCAUCAGUACAUGUGUUGUGCCCCUGAUUCCACCCAUUAGUAACAUUCACUACAUCUCUCCCCCCACUUGCGUGCACACUCUGUAGGUACAGGUCUGCCACUGAGGUGCCUGCCAUUGUAUGGCGCUGGCAAACCCAUGUCCCUCCCCAGCUACCAGGUGAUGCGUUCGCUGUAUGUGGGAUCUCUGACUUCCUGCAGCAGGUGGGCCCAGCUCUGAAAUGGGGGAUGAUGCAGCAGGUGCAGUGAAUAAAGACGCUGUGAGAACUUGAUAAAGUAAUGCCUAGUUUCUGUGUCGCUCUGCUUGGAGGGAAGGACGAGCAGUGCUAGUGUGAAUAAUGCCGCUGUAAAUAAAAUGUAUUCAAGUUUU